CCAUCUUCUGUGCUCGCUUCGGCAGCACAGGAAUGAUACAGAGAAGAUUAGCGUGGCCCCUGUGCAAGGAUGACAAGCAAAAUGAUCGAUCUCCUUUGAAUAAAAUCUU